UUUAACCCCUUUCGAUACCCGACAUCUCUUCCUUUCUAAAUCCAGAACUCCGACAUGAAAAGUUAGAGAGAUUGAAUCCUAGUCUUCUCGAUAAGAAAUUAUCCCUAAUACUUCGAUAUUAUAUUUUCUCGAUCUCUAGAUAUCGAUCUCGGAAUCUCGAUUUCGAUUUCUCGGUAUCGGAACCCGAAGUCUUUUUCUCCCUUACCGCUGACUGUUCUUUUGUUGUUUCCUAGACAAUCUUCUACAUGAAUGCUAUUGAAGGGAGGAACAGACAUAGCUUGACGGUCGCAACAUCACUAUGAACGAGGCUCAGUCCCGUGGAGACGAUGGCGGUUGGCAGUGGAGGACGUGGUGGAAGAAGCGGUAGAUAUCGCAGUGGAGGCGGUGGUGGUUAUGGAGGCGAUGGUGGAAGACGUGAGUAUGGAUACAAUGGUGGUGGUUGGUGGAGGUGGUUGCAGAUUCUUCAUCUACAAAACCUUGAAUAUAAAACUUUGUCCACAAGAUCUGCAUCCACAAAACCGUGAUUCAUGUGUCCACAUUUUCUCGUGUCCACAAUUUUGCCACCCACAGUGUGUAUGUUCAUAUCUAAUCCGUCCACAACGUUUCGCGUCCACAGACACUUGACAUGCAAGAUAACGGAGAAGAAUAGUCUACUCCAUCUCAACUGUUCACCAUAACCACAAGCAUUGUGUCCAUACAUAUCUAUCUAUCCAUAAGUACAUGUUAAGUAUCUACAACGCAGUGUUUGUCAGUUUGUUGUUUGCAAAUAUUCAUAUCUUCUUUGUGUCUAACAAACAAAUCAUUUUUAGUGUAUUUGUUUGCCUACACAGUAGUUUCGUAACUUGUUUUUUGAAAUUGUACCUUCACGACAUCUUUGUUUAUCUUUGAAUGUGGUUUUAGUGUA